rnacentral:rRNA from 1 species
AGCGAACGCUGGCGGCAGGCUUAACACAUGCAAGUCGAACGGGCGUAGCAAUACGUCAGUGGCAGACGGGUGAGUAACGCGUGGGAACGUACCUUUUGGUUCGGAACAACCCAGGGAAACUUGGGCUAAUACCGGAUAAGCCCUUACGGGGAAAGAUUUAUCGCCGAAAGAUCGGCCCGCGUCUGAUUAGCUAGUUGGUGUGGUAACGGCGCACCAAGGCGACGAUCAGUAGCUGGUCUGAGAGGAUGAUCAGCCACAUUGGGACUGAGACACGGCCCAAACUCCUACGGGAGGCAGCAGUGGGGAAUAUUGGACAAUGGGCGGCAAGCCUGAUCCAGCCAUGCCGCGUGAGUGAUGAAGGCCCUA